CGCGAUCUGCAAUCCAUGCGUCGUCUGUUAGAUCCUUGUUAGGAAGUGCGUGUGCUAGUAGUGUUUCAGAAUGUGCCUGUGUUGUUCUUGUCAUGGUGGAUCUGUUAUGCCUAAUCUGAUGGUACCUUCUUGUUGCUAUCAUCUAUGGAAAUGAAAAAUGUUGGCUUCCUGUUCUCAUUCAUCUGCGUUUGAAUGCCUGUUCCCAACGUGCCAAUUUUCUUGCCUGAUUUAUCUAGCUUGUUCUAUUCGGCUCUGAUUUUGAGCUUAAUUGUCAUUAGACUGUCAAUU
rnacentral:lncRNA from 1 species